CCUAGGUCCAAGGGAAACUGGUGUAGAAGGAGUCGGGAAGAGAGGUCCCAGUCCUUCGCCUCCCGGUCACUUGGGUCCCGGCCCACGAGAGUCAGCCGGUGGGCCUGCAGGCGCCCUGAGCUCAGAGGAGAUGACAGGGCAGGAACCAGGCCUGGAGUUGUUCUCAUGGAUUCCCUGGGGCAGCCUCUUCUCUGAUCCAUGGGACCGACUCAUUGUGGCCCCUCCCUCAGCCUCUUGCCUCACUCCUACCCUGCUGCUAAUACGGGAGGUGUCAUCUCUGGAAAGGGAAGACGGAGGCCUGAGGACAUCCUUCCCCGUUCCUCAACGCCUGACGCUCCCUACAGCAUCCGCCUCCCAGGCGUCAGCCCGGCCUCAUUCCAGGCGGAAAUCCGACCCCCCUCCCUUCAUCCGGACCCCGCUUCCCUCGUCCACACUCCCCACCCUGCUUUUCCUGCCAGCUCCUUGGUGGAGAGGGGUGGCCGGUUCCGCUUGAAGAAGCCAGCCUGGGGGUGCACAGGGCCAGAGACAGGACAUAAAGGUGAUGCUCAGGCUCCAGAGCACUCAUGGAAUAAGUCUACUAGAAACCAGGCAGCCACGGGUCCUCCCCGUGGACCUCGGCCCACUGCCGGCACAAAGGCAGGCCUUUCCCACGGAGAGAUAAUGCGUGGAACAAGGGUUUUGUUUUUUAAUUUCUGGUUUUUCUCCCAUGAAUUUUUCUUUGUUAAAUCUCCUCUUGCCCCCCUCCUGCCCCAUAUUUCCCUUAAAUACUUUCA